rnacentral:piRNA from 1 species
UACCAUCUCAUGAAUAUGCAUGAUUAGGGU